rnacentral:rRNA from 1 species
UACGUAGGGGGCUAGCGUUGUCCGGAUUUAUUGGGCGUAAAGAGCUCGUAGGUGGUUCGGUUAGUCGGAUGUGAAAUCUCCAGGCUCAACCUGGAGGGGUCAUUCGAUACUGCCGUGACUAGAGUUCGGUAGAGGAGUGUGGAAUUCCUGGUGGAGCGGUGAAAUGCGCAGAGAUCAGGAGGAACACCGGUGGCGAAGGCGGCUUUCUGGACAGUAACUGACGCUGAGGCGCGAAAGCUAGGGGAGCAAACGGG